rnacentral:rRNA from 1 species
AGGCCUAACACAUGCAAGUCGAGCGGGCGUAGCAAUACGUCAGCGGCAGACGGGUGAGUAACGCGUGGGAACGUACCUUUUGGUUCGGAACAACACAGGGAAACUUGUGCUAAUACCGGAUAAGCCCUUACGGGGAAAGAUUUAUCGCCGAAAGAUCGGCCCGCGUCUGAUUAGCUAGUUGGUGAGGUAAUGGCUCACCAAGGCGACGAUCAGUAGCUGGUCUGAGAGGAUGAUCAGCCACAUUGGGACUGAGACACGGCCCAAACUCCUACGGGAGGCAGCAGUGGGGAAUAUUGUACAAUGGGCGAAAGCCUGAUCCAGCAAUGCCGCGUGAGUGAUGAAGGCCUUAGGGUUGUAAAGCUCUUUUACCCGGGAUGAUAAUGACAGUACCGGGAGAAUAAGCUCCGGCUAACUCCGUGCCAGCAGCCGCGGUAAU